GGUGGUUCUCAGGUGACACACCCUGGAAUUGGGCUCCCUCCUCUCUGGUUCCAGGUGCAUCCGCCAAGAACCGCA
rfam:Myotis brandtii contig261903, whole genome shotgun sequence.